rnacentral:rRNA from 1 species
GUGGGGAAUCUUAGACAAUGGGCGCAAGCCUGAUCUAGCCAUGCCGCGUGAUCGAUGAAGGCCUUAGGGUUGUAAAGAUCUUUCAGUGGGGAAGAUAAUGACUGUGCCCACAGAAGAAGCCCCGGCUAACUCCGUGCCAGCAGCCGCGGUAAUACGGAGGGGGCUAGCGUUGUUCGGAAUUACUGGGCGUAAAGCGCACGUAGGCGGAACAGAAAGUCAGAGGUGAAAUCCCAGGGCUCAACCUUGGAACUGCCUUUGAAACUCCUGUUCUUGAGUUCGAGAGAGGUGAGUGGAAUUCCGAGUGUAGAGGUGAAAUUCGUAGAUAUUCGGAGGAACACCAGUGGCGAAGGCGGCUCACUGGCUCGAUACUGACGCUGAGGUGCGAAAGCGUGGGGAGCAAACAGGAUUAGAAACCCGGGUAGUCC